GCUAAUAAUGAAGGGCCGGGGAAGGAGGCCAGUGCGACCAGGGUUAUCUCAAAGCCUCAGAUGCUGGAUAAGUCCGGGGAGGCAGAAUCGCUUUGGGAUGACAUUCAGAAAGGCCGGAGUGAUUAUUUGGAAGAGAAAAGCCUGCCUAUUCUUUUCCAAGGUAUAUUCCCCCUACUCCGUCCACUGAUGAAUUCUUAACAUCCUGCCUUAGACAAAGGCUGUGCUUGGAACCCCAUCACCCCUAAAACCAGGCUUUGAAGGAUCUGCCAAGCUCAGUUUUAAUCACGGAAAGAAAUUACCCACAUGGAGUCAGCAGAAAAUGAGAAAGUGGAGCUCGUGCUGAGAAUAAUUCCAGCAAGUGCCAAGGGUCUAGUUGAGGAAUGACUUCAUGAGGUUAGUCUAAAAAGAGCACCUUUGAGAAAGAAAAAUCAUCUUCAAGGACGUCUAGUUGUACCUCCUUCCCAUACGUGGCUUCAAAGCCUAGGUUGGAUCAAUUACUUGGAUUUUUUUUUACUUGAACUCUUUCAAUAUUGACAACUAAACUGUAUUCAUUUUUCACUGUUUUAUGUACACUUG